CAUAGGCACACCUGGGUGUGCACGUGUGUAUAUCACAGGUAGGCACACCUGGGCGUGCACGUGUGUAUAUCAUAGGUAGGCACACCUGGGCGUGCAUGUGUGUAUAACGUAUGUAGGCACACCUGGGUGUGCACGUGUAUAUGACAGGCACACCUGAGCGUGCACGUGUGUAUAUCAUAGGCACACCUGGGUGUGCACGUGUGUAUAACGUAGGCACACCUGGGCAUGCACGUGUGUAUAUCAUAGGUAGGCACACCUGGGCGUGCAUGUGUAUAACAUGUGGGCACACCUGGGUGUGCACGUGUGUAUAACAUAUGUAAGCACACCUAGCUGUGCACGUUUAUGUAACAUAGGUAAGCAUACAUGCUUAACAUGUAGGCCCACGUGAUCAAAUGCAUUGUUGCCAUUACGACUUUGGACACACGUGUCUCUGGGAUUGGCGGAGAAUCAGAAAGGUUUGUUUUCUCCCUUUGCUUUUUCCUCCUCUAAUGCUCUUCCUGUCUUGGCUCUGAGCGUUACUCUUUCUCUCUGAAGAGCUUCCUUUAGAAUCUCUCCCGGAGCAGGUUUACUGACAACUCCUUCCCUCAAGUUUUGUUUUUCUGAGAAAGCAUUUUUUCUCUUUUGCGUUAAAGGUUAAUUGACAGGUGCAGAAUCCUGGGUGGGCAGUGUUUUCCUGUCUCAACACUUUAAACGUUUCGUUUGUUCUCUUCCUGCAUGUGUGACAUCUGGGAAGGCAGGUGAAGCGUGCAUCUCUGUUCCUCUGCCCCUGAGGAGUGUGUGUGCCUGGCUUGUCACUCCUUCAUUCAGUUUGACCCCAAGUUGUCCCAUAACUGCUUUUGGAGGACAGAGGGGAUGUCACCCGGGGAGCUGCAGUAUGUCGGAUGCCGGCGGGCCACCCCCAAGGGCCUUCUCAGCAAGGCUCUCGUGGAACUGAGGCCAGCUGGAGGGCAGGGCCAGGCAUGCGCCCCAGCUCCUCCUCGGCCCCUCCCACAGUGUGGCUUCCCCUCCCAAACAGAGCAGCUCCCAGUAGCACGACAGCAAUCACGGUGGCUAGCAUGAGGGCAAUGGCGCGUGGGCAGACCCUGCGCCACUCUGAGACUCAUGGGUUAGCAGUUGGGUAGCCUCUGCCUGCACCCCCACAGAGUUCUUAGGGCAAGGGAUGGGCCUGUGUGGGCGUGGGAAGGGCAGUGUGCAAGGAGCUGAGACAGGUGCGUUCAAGUCCUGCUCCCGCACAGGUGAGAGUGGUGUCUGGACAUGGGGGCCAGGGCCUGGGAGCCUGUGCCCCUCGCCAUCCCCCAGUGGGGUGGAUGUAAUGUCCUGGCCUGCAGUUAUGCUCCCACUGCCUGGGUCCUCAGGCGCAUGCGGAAUUUUGAACUUUCACUCCCCGGGGUGGUGCAUGGCAAGAGAGGCCUGGGGUCUGCGCUCACUGUGCCCUGAGAUCUCUGCCAAGGAAUCGUCAUGUCACGCACCCUCCCUUCAGAGCUCAGGAAGCUGAGGCAGGGGAAGCUGACGUUGCCGGAGCUCGCACACUUUGGAGUGGCAGAGCCACCUUCACCUUCCUCCCCUGUGGGGCCCCAGGAGAGCUGCAUGGCUGGGGAACAUAUCGCUGGGUUGGGAGCUCUGGGAUCUGGUGCCAGGGCCCAGGGAAGAAGAGGGAACCCACAGACUGCUCCAGGCUCCUCCACUCCGGGAAGUGCAGGGAAGCUGAAACAGAGCUCACAGAGGGUCUCGGGCGUGAUGGAGAGCGAGACAUGGUGGCAGGGAUGGGGCGGCCAGCACAGGCCUCCCAUCUGCCCUAUGACCAGCCGUCUGCCUGCGGCUCUCACAAGGAGACCCGAAGCAGGAAGUAAUCACAAAGCAAUUGCUGUCCUAAGGCGGCCCCCGCCAGCCCCUGACCUCCGCCAAGUGGUAAACUUUAAUAGUCCUGUUUUCCCCACUUUCCUGAGUGUCCGUCAAUAGAUUUUUCAGGGUCGUGGCAGUCCAGGUCCUUGGAGAGGGAGGGCUGAAGCAGGAUGGAGGGCAGGGCAUUUAUCUUGGGACCAUGUCGGGGAGAUGGCUGGGGAUCAGAGUGAAGGUGCCAGGCUGCAGGGAGCUGAGGGGCUCCAAGGACCUGCCAAGGCUGCUGUGUGGACUUGAGAGCCUAUGUGGUCUGCAGCCAGUGACCUCCCCACUGUCAGAGGCCGAGUAGAGCACUCUCGGAGUGAGCAUGAGGGAUCUAUUUGUACCCACCGUUCCAAACAGGAUUAAAGUGGUUCUCAAAAUGCCCAACUUUUCGUCCUGACAAUGUGUCCUGAGCCUGCCUCUCCCAGCUCCUCUCCAGAAAUCCUGAAGGAAGGGGCAGAUGAUGGAGAGCUUGGAAAGGCGGCAGGACGGGGGCGGACAGGUCAAAAUCCCAGGCCUGGGGCAACAGGCAGCUCAGAUUUGCAGUGAGCUGGGGCUCCAGAGGAGGGAGACCAAGGCCGGCCUGUCUGAACUGCAACUGGCAACAGAGGUGGGCCGUCCAUGGCAUCGUCCUCUGACGGAACCCAAGCCUCUCCCCUAGCACCGGGCUGGCCAGGAGCUGCUCCAGCACUAAGUGGACAGGAAAGACUGUUCCAUGCGCUGAUCCCGUGUUCUCAGAGAAGCCUGUUCCGUGUGCUGAUCCCAUGUUCUUGGAGGAGCCCGUUCUGUGCACUGAUCCCAUGUUCUCGGAGGAGCCCGUUCUGUGUGCUGAUCCCCUGUUCUCAGAGGAUCCCGUUCUGUGUGCUGAUCCCGUGUUCUCAGAGGAGCCCGUUCUGUGCACUGAUCCCAUGUUCUCAGAGGAUCCUGUUCUGCAUGCUGAUCCCAUGUUCUCAGAGGAUUUUGUUCUGUGCGCUGAUCCGUGUUCUCAGAGGAGCCCGUUCUGUGUGCUGAUCCCGUGUUCUCAGAGGAGCCCAUUUUGUGUGCUGAUCCUGUGUUCUCGGAGGAGCCUGUUCUGUGUGCUGAUCCCGUGUUCUCGGAGGAGCCCAUUCUGUGCACUGAUCCCAUGUUCUCAGAGGAUUCUGUUCUGUGUGCUGAUCCCGUGUUCUCAGAGGAUCCUGUUCUGUGUGCUGAUCCCGUGUUCUCAGAGGAUCCUGUUCUGUGUGCUGAUCCCGUGUUCUCGGAGGAGCCCGUUCUGUGCACUGAUCCCAUGUUCUCAGAGGAUUCUGUUCUGUGUGCUGAUCCCGUGUUCUCAGAGGAUCCUGUUCUGUGUGCUGAUCCCGUGGUCUCAGAGGAUUCCGUCCUAUGUGCUGAUCUUGUGUUCUCAGGGGAGCCCGUUUCCGUUUUCAUCUAUUCUGGGGUAAUUUUCUGAUGGUGUGAGUUCUUUGUUUGCCAUUUAUUUCUCCUUGUUUUUGGUGGUAACUGUGUAUAGAUCGUUUUUAUUAUCUCUGAAUGUGGUACAUUCUCUACAGACCUUUCCCUUGCAAAAGGUCCAUGUGGGAGAUGGGUCAAAGCCAUUCUGGAAUCGCAGGAACACCCGGGGUUCUCAGCAAUGGCCUCACACACAUGUCUGUGCACAGGAUGGGCCUGCUCGUGGGUGUGUCCUGGGCAGGCCUCAUGUCCUUGUCACUUUGUGGUGUGAAAUGGGGUUCCAAGAUGGCCAGGUUGCCAGCCCAUGCCCCUGAUCCCAUCUCUGCAUGCUGGAGGCGGUGGGCUCUGAGGCCAGGGAGGUUCAAUGUCCAGUGUCGGCUCUGAGAGCUCCUGGGGGAAGGUCCUCCUCGGCCGUCCCCACAUCUCGGUGGAGUCUUUCUGCUGCUGUGGGCCCUCCUCUGUGCCGAGUGGUCCCAGCCUUUCUUAGCUUGCUCGGAAAUUAUGUCAGCACGUCCCUUCGCUACAUCGAUCAAACAUAUCAAUUCACUCUAAACAUGGCUCCGUGAUUCUCGGCAAGACAUGCAUGGCCUUUACAAAAUGCUGGGGUAGAGAAGCCUGGGUGGGCUUACCAACCCCUGCCCUGAGCUUCCCGGGUCCAGGACAACCGCCGGAGUCCACCUUCUGUGUCUGGCCACAGCGGCCGCUCUUCCCACAUGCAGGCCGGGCAUACAGGAGCCCAGCCCCUUGCAGCAGGCCUCUGGUUGGUGGGGGCAGCGGCACCGCAGCCCUCCCAGGGGCUGACAGCGGCAGGGCAGCCUCCCUCCUCUCGGGCCGCAGCCCUGCAGACUUUCCCUUUCUCGUCUCACCUCCACAGUCUGUUGUUUACAGGAUCAGUUCCCACAGAAGCUGCCUGUACUUGGAGCCUGGACCCAGGUUGCUUUUGUGGAGCUCCCAGGGCGGUGUGCUGUCCUGCUCCCGAGAUGCGCGGGGCUGGACGUCAGUGAGAACUGCUGGGGCAAACUCCCACCUGCCAAAGGGUGCCGGGCCUGUUCAGGACCUUGGGUGGGCCUCAAGCAGUAUGUACCCUGCCUACCUCAUUCAGAAACGACUGAAGAGAAUCACCCAAAAUCCCACGGCCUGACCGCCCAGGCUUGUGGGGUUAAAAGGGGCCAUGAGGCUGUGGCAGGCCUGUCCUCCUGGGCCACAAUGUGCGUCUGCGCCCAGGUCAGGGGUGACGCUGCAGUGGCCCGUGAGUGCCUUUGCAAAGUAAUAUGGACCUUCAUUUCCUCAAGCCACGGCCCAGAGGGGUCUGCAGCGCUCUGCUAGGGGAAAGGGCGCAGCACUGCCCUCUGGGGAGGUGGCAGCAUCUCUCUGAGAAAAGACACAUCUGCUGGCUGUGUCCAGAUCUGGCCAGGGCCCCGAGGAAGGACAGUGACAGAAACUGCUGGAGGAGUGUGGGAGUGGAAACAUUCAGGCUUCCACCCUCCUGCGCGGCAGACCCCCCCCACCGUGAUCGGCCCCCACCCUCCGGCGUGGCGGAUGCCCCCAUGUUCAGCCUCCACCCUCUUCCACAGCAGAUGCCCCCCUGCACCGUGUUCAGCCUCCACCCUCCUGCAUGGGGCUCCUCUGUGUUCAGCCUCCACCCUCCUGCACGGCAGUCCCCCCCGUGUUCAGCCUCCACCCUCCUGCACGGCAGACCCCCCCCGCCAUGUUCAGCGCCCCCCGUCCCCUGUUCAGCUCCCACCCUGUGCUCAGCCUUCACCUUCCUGUGCGGCGGACACCCCAUGUGUGCACUGGUUCUUUUAACGCCACCCUGUGCACGUGCUGUGGAGAGUGGUGUCGGCGUGUGGCUAUGUGCGUGGCGUGGCCACACACCCCUGCCAGGUGUCUGCAUGGCGUAGCCGGCCCAGCAGCUCUGCGCAAUCUGCUCACUUGCAAGCAGGGGGGCCGAGGCUCCAGUGAUACCAUGCAGAGGUCCAGGGCAGCCCGAUUCCGAGGAUGUCCCGCUGGCAGCCAUUACAACAGUGAGGUGAAAACACAGGGCCAGGCCCGCCCUCAGGGUGUCUCGAUGGGCCAAUGACUUCCUCCCUCAUGGCAGGGGUUCAUUCUCUGGAAAGGGUGUUCUUGCCCGCAGCACUGUGCACAUUUUGGGCGGGAUGUUUCUGCCCUGGGAACUGCUGGGUGCUGAGUGAUGUCCCCACGACCCACCCCUUGAUGCCAGGAGUACCUGCCUUGUGACUGUGCCAGCCAGAGGCCUCCAGACACAGCCACGUGUUCCCUGGGACAGACCCACCGUGCUGGGCAUGCCAGGCAUCCCCUACGAGGCAGCCACCUCCUCUGGCAUCUCCCCACCCUUCUCCGUCUCCCCCAGUGCCUGUGGGGUUGUGAGGACCCAUGUGAGACUUUUGUGUUCUCCUCCCUCACUCAGAAAGGUCUGCUUCAAACCUGAGAAAUGACUGCAGAGCGGCUGUAAAAUCCGAACCCUCCCCUCAGGCCCAGAGGAAAAAUGAGCCACUUCCCUUUCUUGGCACUUUUGCCGUGAGCCUUGGACAAGCUCCCGGGUCUGGCCUCCGCCCAAGCAGCCGGUCCCUCCCAGGGGCCUCCCUGUCGGGCUUCCUCGUUCUAAAUGGAGGUGGAGACGCCACGGCAGACACGGCCAUGGGGUUUUGAGAGCAGGCCCCACCUGACGUGGGAGACUUGCUUUCUCGGUAGUGCGGGAAUAGCCGCGUUGCAAAGGCUGCGUCUGGAGGGGCAGCUCUGCGGCUUAGCACGUCGGUUUUCUACAAAUACCAUUUCUACUGCAGAAAGGCCUCGGGUGUGCGUGGAGUCCAAAACAGACCGUCUAGACGGACUCCUACUGUCUGACCCUUGAUGUUCCUCAUCCACGCGGCCGUGCCAAGCAGGUCGGCCCUUGAGAGGUGAUGAAAAACCUGCUAAACAGCACAGAGAAGCCCUUCCCGUGGGGCGCACAGCAUUCACCCAAGGACAAGCCCUUCCCGUGGGGCGCACAGCAUUCGCCCGAGGAGAAGACCUUCCCGUGGGGUGCACAGCAUUCACCCAAGGACAAGCCCUUCCCGUGGGGCGCACAGCAUUCACCCAAGGACAAGCCCUUCCCAUGGGGCGCACAGCAUUCGCCCGAGGAGAAGCCCUUCCCGUGGGGUGCACAGCAUUCACCCGAGGAGAAGCCUUUCCCGUGGGGUGCACAGCAUUCACCCGAGGAGAAGCCUUUCCUGUGGGGUGCACAGCAUUCACCUGAGGAGCCCACGCAGGCCGCACUGUCGGCCCACAGAGGGGAAGCCAAGGCGGGAGCCUGAUGACUCGCCCCAGGCCUCAGAGCUGCACCAGACGUUCCCACCACUAAGGCCACAGUCUCUUCAGGUUCUGCCUAACGCUCUCAAUUACGGUUCUCUUAAUAAAGAAUAUUUGUGGAGAAAACA